rnacentral:rRNA from 1 species
GAUCAUGGCUCAGGAUGAACGCUAGCGGGAGGCUUAACACAUGCAAGCCGAGGGGUAUAGUUCUUUCGGGAACUAGAGACCGGCGCACGGGUGCGUAACGCGUAUGCAACUUGCCCUACUGAAAAGGAUAGCCCUUCGAAAGGAGGAUUAAUACUUUAUAACAGAUUUAAUGGCAUCAUUAGAUUUUGAAAGAUUUAUCGCAGUAGGAUAGGCAUGCGUAAGAUUAGUUAGUUGGUGAGGUAACGG